UGGCUCGCAAAAAUUGCAUCAACUCGGCCUCUCUAGAGGCCUGUUCUAGCAGUGGCCCAUUGACCCAUUUUACACCUCUUUCACCAAAUCUCCUCUCCACAGCACCACCGACCGCGAAAGCUCUCAUUUCUACACCGCACCACCCGAAGCAACUGGAACUUUUGAAGAAACCUUAAAUCACUGAUUGGAAUAGAAAACAGAAACUUCUCUUACUCGAUAGAUCGGAAUUUUCUUCAGUCUCAUGGCUCUCAAUCUCCGACAAAAGCAAACAGAAUGUAUAAUCCGAAUGCUAAACCUAAAUCAACCUGUAAACGCUACUGGUACUGCUAAUGAAGAGGUUUAUAAGAUCUUGGUUUACGAUAAAUUUUGCCAAAAUAUCUUAUCUCCAUUGAUCCAUGUCAAGGAUCUACGCAAGCAUGGUGUUACUCUCUACUUCCUAAUCGAUAAAGAUCGAAAGCCUGUUAAUGAUGUUCCUGCUGUUUAUUUUGUUCAACCUACUCAAACCAAUAUUCAACGAAUUAUUGCUGAUGCGUCUCGUUCACUCUACGAUAACUUCCAUUUGAAUUUUUCGUCUUCGAUUCCGCGUCCUCUUCUUGAGGAUCUUGCUUCCGGGACUCUGAAUUCGGAUUCUAUACAUAGAAUUUCGAAGGUGCAUGAUCAGUAUUUGGAGUUUGUUACUUUGGAGGAUAAUUUGUUUUCAUUGGCUCAGAAAUCUAGUUAUGUUCAGUUGAAUGAUCCGUCUGCUGGGGAUAGGGAGAUUGAGGAGAUAAUUGAGAGGAUCGUUAGUGGUUUGUUUUGUGUGCUGGCAACAUCGGGUGUUGUUCCGGUUAUUAGGUGUCCCCGUGGAGGGCCUGCUGAGAUGGUGGCUUCGGCUUUGGAUCAGAGGUUGAGAGAUCAUUUGUUGUCAAAGAAUAAUUUGUUUUCGGAAGGUGGGGGUUUUCUGAGCUCAUUUCAGAGGCCAAUUUUGUGUAUAUUUGAUAGGAAUUUUGAAUUGGCAAUUGGGAUACAGCAUGAUUUCAGUUAUCGCCCGCUUGUUCAUGAUGUGCUUGGAUUGAAGCUAAACAGGUUGAGUGUUCAGGGGGAAAAGGGUGGUAUGAAGUCGUAUGAGUUGGACAGCUCUGAUCCAUUUUGGCUUGCGAAUGGGUCUUUGGAAUUUCCCGAAGUUGCAGUGGAAAUUGAGACGCAAUUGAAUAAGUACAAGAAGGAUGUUGAUGAGGUAAACAGGAGGACUGGGGGAACAGAUGGAGCAGAAUUUGACGGCACAGACUUGAUUGGAAAUACGAAACAUUUGAUGAAUGCAGUGAACUCCCUGCCUGAGUUGACUGAGCGGAAGCAGGUGAUUGAUAAGCAUACAAACAUCGCAACUGUAUUAUUGGGUGAGAUCAAGGAGAGAUCUCUUGAUUCUUAUGCCAAAAAGGAGAAUGACAUGAUGAUAAGAGGAGGGAUUGAUAGAAAUGAACUUUUGGCUGUGCUUAGAGGGAAAGGGUCCAAAAUUGAUAAGCUGAGAUUUGCAAUCACUUACCUUAUAUCAUCUGAUAGUAUUAACCAGUCAGAAGUUGAAGCAGUGGAAGCAGCUCUUAGGGAGUCUGAGGUUGAUACUUGUGCAUUCCAGUAUGUGAAGAAAAUGAAGUCCCUCAAUGUUUCAUUGGCAUCAACAAAUUCUGCUAGUAGAAAUAAUAUUGUUGAUUGGGCUGAAAAGCUUUAUGGACAGUCAAUUAGUGCUGUGACAGCAGGUGUGAAAAAUUUAUUAUCUAAUGAUAGGCAGCUUGCAUUAGCAAGGACUGUGGAAGCUUUGAUGGAGGGGAAACCUAAUCCAGAGAUCGAUUCCUACCUUGCGUUUGAUCCUCGUGCUCCCAAGUCAGGGGCUGGCAGCAGCCAUCUCAAAGGGCCAUUCAAAGAAGCCAUCGUAUUCAUGAUUGGUGGUGGUAAUUAUGUGGAGUACGGUGGGUUGCAAGAGCUUUCGCGUCGACAGCAGCCUGUCAAGCAUAUUAUAUAUGGAACAACAGAAAUUCUCACUGGAGAAGAGUUUGUUGAGCAGCUCACACUGUUGGGGCAGAAGAUGGGAUUGGGUAGCACUGGUGCUUCUGCUUCAACUCACUAGUACAGAAUUUUGUAUAUGCUCUUAAUAGCAGGUUGUUCGAUGUUUUAUACAUCAAAGAGAAACGCACCUUCAAGAGUUAUGGUAUUAUUUGAUUUAGGUGAACUUAUACUGAUGCUGGUUAGCUUAAUGCCCAUACGGAAGUCUUCAAACAUGAAUUUCGUCUAUCAAUUGAAGAGCUGAGGAAUGCCCUCUAUCUUUCAUCUCUUUGAGGAAACAAAUUUUCAUCAUCUUUAGCUUGUGGCAUAAUUCAUGGCAUGCCUUUAGUUCUCCAGUACCUUGAAUGCUACCAUUCUUGGCCUCUGUUUGGGAGCUGUGGAGUGAUUGAAAGCUUGUUAUUACAAAUGUAAAAUGCAGAACCCCUAAAUAGCAGCAACUUUUUCUGGCUUAGCAUGUUGUCUUUUAACCUGUAUUUUUAAACUUCAGAUAAAAACCUGGUAACUGAGGAAUUGCUUCAUACAAAUUAAUUUUCUAGAAUUUACAGGAUUUAUUUACAAAUCUA